UGGCAGGUUCUGGCAAAUACACUUUCCAGGCUAACUGAAGCCUGUAGAUUGUAGUUUAGAAACUCACCCAAGUCACAAUUGCAAUUGGCCUGAAAUUUCAAUUGUUAUGCUUGGCAAUAGUUGAGUUGGUGUAGAAAGUAAAGAGUAAUAACUAACUGCUAUGGUUCUAAGUGUUGUUGGUACAGAGAUAAAAACUACAAAAAGAAAGGGA
rnacentral:misc_RNA from 1 species